rnacentral:lncRNA from 1 species
GCCAAGGAUAGCGAAUGGAGUAUUUGCUUCAAUCUCGCGAGUGUGCUCUGUGCUGAAAUGGUAGGUUGUUCUUUCUCCGGAGAAAAGUUUACAUAGCAGAUGGACAUCCCCACUCGCUGCUUCUUCAUUGGACUUAAGCAGCUUGUGAAGUACGUCAUAUAUCUCUGAGGAAACAACGUAUGCCUUGCCGAAUUUUGAUAGUUGUUUAACAAGGGCGGAUGAUGUGGCUUGACCCAUGAGAAUAUUUUGUUCAUCUUCGGUAAUAGACAGGAGCGGCGUUGUGGCUGAAUGGUCUAUUGCUGCGGAUUUCCCAGUGCCUGGAUAGCCAACAAACAUUGUGAAGAGAUUUGGUACUUGGCGGUGAGUCCCACAAUCAAU